GACGAACGCUGGCGGCGUGCUUAACACAUGCAAGUCGAACGGAAAGGCCCUGCUUUUGUGGGGUGCUCGAGUGGCGAACGGGUGAGUAACACGUAAGUAACCUGCCCUUGACUUUGGGAUAACUUCAGGAAACUGGGGCUAAUACCGAAUAGGAGCUCCUGCGCCAUGGUGGGGGUUGAAAAGUUUCGGCGGUUGGGGAUGGACUCGCGGCUUAUCAGCUUGUUGGUGGGGUAGUGGCUUACCAAGGCUUUGACGGGUAGCCGGCCUGAGAGGGUGACCGGCCACAUUGGGACUGAGAUACGGCCCAGACUCCUACGGGAGGCAGCAGUGGGGAAUAUUGCACAAUGGGCGGAAGCCUGAUGCAGCAACGCCGCGUGCGGGAUGACGGCCUUCGGGUUGUAAACCGCUUUCGCCUGUGACGAAGCGUGAGUGACGGUAAUGGGUAAAGAAGCACCGGCUAACUACGUG
rnacentral:rRNA from 1 species